AUAGAAUAGUCUCGAUACAAUUGGCGUGAACGUUUGAACCAUUAUUCAGUCACUUUUUUAUCAGAAAAAUCCUGAUACACGUGAGAAUGCACUGGAAGUGACCAAAAAAAAAAAAAAAUGUUACAUCACAUGCUUAACUGCUAACCCAUAACAUCGCUAAGUGUACGGGCGGAUAAACAAGCUGCUGAGUUGAAUACUUUUCGCAGCGUUUGAGGGGAAAACCCGCCCAUUUCGUGCGUCACUAACCUGCGUCACGGUUGUAGAUUGUCCACUGCCCAGUCAAUAGCAACCGGUAUUAAAACGAGAAUCAAUUAGAUACAUAAACAAAGGGGAAGGCGUGAUAGGCCAGUUUUAUGACCACUUUGCUUUCAUAAGCUCAGCGAGUUGCUAAUUAGAUGUAGGCUUACGUCUGUUAUGGAUGAUUCAGGAGUUAUUGGGAUCAGUUUCCAGUGGCCUAUUCAGUUCCCAAUAUAAGGCUUCUAACAACACUUAGCUGUUUAAUUUCCCAGGUUUUGUAUUACACUUUAGUAACAGGAGAAUGUGCAGAAGAAUCAUUUGCUUGAGGGGUGAAAGGAAAAGGUGGAGUGUGGGACUCCUUCAUAGGAAGCUGUCUGGAUGCAACAAGCAAGUCAUUAGUUGCUUCAGGGCAUGUGAUUUGGAUGAUGUGGCAUGUCACUGUUAAUCCUCUGGUUUAUGAAAGCCUUAUGUCCCACAUAAAAUGCACUCCAAUCAGU